rnacentral:rRNA from 1 species
CAAAGGAAUUGACGGGACCGCACAAGCGGUGGAUGAUGUGGUUUAAUUCGAUGCAACGCGAAAACCUUACCCACCUUGACAUGUACGGAACCCUUUAGAGAUAGAGGGGUGCUCGAAAGAGAGCCGUAACACAGGUGCUGCAUGGCUGUCGUCAGCUCGUGUCGUGAGAUGUUGGGUUAAGUCCCGCAACGAGCGCAACCCUUGUCAUUAGUUGCUACAUUCAGUUGGGCACUCUAAUGAGACUGCCGGUGACAAGCCGGAGGAAGGUGGGGAUGACGUCAAGUCCUCAUGGCCCUUAUAGGUGGGGCUACACACGUCAUACAAUGGCUGGUACAAAGGGUUGCCAACCCGCGAGGGGGAGCCAAUCCCAUAAAGCCAGUCGUAGUCCGGAUCGUAGUCUGCAACUCGACUACGUGAAGUCGGAAUCGCUAGUAAUCGUGGAUCAGAAUGUCACGGUGAAUACGUUCCCGGGUCUU